UAUAUGGAAUUGCUGUUUUCAAUGGGUAAACGUUCUCAUUCUCUGCGCGUAGAGCCAACAAAAGCAAGUGGCAGCCAGCGAUAAUGUGGCAGCUGAUGAAGGCAAAGAUAAUGAUAAUGAUAAUAAUAAUGCAGCUGCGGCUACGACUGCGGCUGCCAACGAUGACGAUGCCAAUUGAAAAUCUUUUCUGUGGUUAUUCUUUGCAGCUCUUUUCAUUACACUUGCAAGGGGGUGAGAAGCCGGCUCAAUUAUGAAAAACGCUUAUUUGAAAAUUGCUAGUUAAUUGUUGCGGAGAGGCAACUUCGACUCCAACUCCAACUCCGAUUGUGAAAAAGAAAGCGACUCCAAGUGGAAGUGCCAUUAUAGCCGGGGGCUGUCAGUUAGCCAAGUUGCUUGGCUCUGGUUACUUUACUUCAUUGUUGGCUCAAUUAAAUUAGAGGGAGCCCGGUGUAAACUACGCUCACUGCUCUCGGCUAUCAUUUUUGGAGCAUACCAAAAAUUUACAUAAUAAGCACAAAAUUUGUUGCCCAAGGCUCAAGGAGGAAGGGGCAGAAGACGAGUCCAAAUCGAGUCCUGGCAUAAUCGCAAAUGGCAAACUGCCAAGCGAUGGCGACACAUGCUGAGACAGGUUUAUAAGCUGUCUGACAGGUAACAACAAAAUACCUAGCCAAGUGCUUCGAUUAUGCCGAACAUUCAGCCCGCCAGCCACUGAAGCGACAUCAUAUGCGUUAAUUUUCCAGCGGAAUGAGCAGCAAGCGCAGCAGUAGCAGAUGAGAUGUUUCGGUGUAGCCGACCCCAAACGCUGACGACUGGUUGCCGCUGACAACAAGUGGCUGGCAGCAGAAAAUUCAUUAUAAUUUAUAAUAAGCAACAACGCUGCCAAGGACGACAACAACGGCGGCGACAGCGACAGCGACAAAAAGGACAUGAGCUGAAGUUCCUCUUAAAUUCUAACACACACACACACACACACACACACACCCCACACACACAUAAACGCACACAAAAACUAGACACAUGCAAUGCAAUAACAACAAGCUAGCAGGCACGACUGGAAGAUACUCUAUAGCAAGCGCGACUAAAUUUGUAAGAUAUCAUAUCUAUUUUCCUAAUAAUUCAAAGUUAACAACUUUAAUUUAAAUGAACUGUAAAAUCUUUAAA